CACAAAUCAUGGAGUCAACCUGAAUGAAACUCAUGUGUACGACUCUCUUCAACAUGGUACUGCUGACGUCUAUGAAUCAGUCACACAAGUGACAAACAGAAAUGGAGCAGAUGAAUAUGAAAACGUCGCCUCCUCUCUUAUUGAGUUUAAAGAUCUUAGAAGAAAGAGGCAACACGACACACCAGAGGAGAGUGCUGUUUACUACAAUGAAGAUGGGAUGCAGGUACAGAGGUGUGUCUGAGGGUCGCACCUCCUAAACAGUCAAUAAGGAAGCCACAGAUGGGACAGGCACGAGGUGCAGCCAGUGACCCCAUUAAACUGAUGUUUUACUGUCCUUAUUUUCCUCGAGUUAUUGGUUCUGUUAUUAGUUACCUAACACAACCUAAUGUGAG